ensembl:snoRNA
GUUGCUCCUCGAGGCGUUGCAGCACAGCUGAGCGUGCUGUGUCUGUGUCAUGAGGCAGCACAGAGCAGCAGGGCGCUAGAAACUACACUUUGUACCCAUAAUUCCACAGUGCAAAGAAUGAAUGACAGCCCCUACAAA